GAGGGUGUAGCUCAAGUGGUAGAGUGCCUGCUUAGCACGCACGAGGUCCUGGGGUCAAUCACCAGUAUUUUCA
rnacentral:tRNA from 1 species